rnacentral:rRNA from 1 species
UACGUAGGGGGCAAGCGUUGUCCGGAAUCAUUGGGCGUAAAGCGCGUGUAGGCGGCUCGAUAAGUCCGCUGUGAAAGUCCAGGGCUCAACCCUGGAAUGCCGGUGGAUACUGUCGAGCUCGAGUCCGGAAGAGGCGAGUGGAAUUCCUGGUGUAGCGGUGAAAUGCGCAGAUAUCAGGAGGAACACCAAUGGCGAAGGCAGCUCGCUGGGACGGUACUGACGCUGAGGCACGAAAGCGUGGGGAGUCAAACAGGA